GGGCUCCGAAAGGAGAGCGUGGUGUCUGGAGGUGAUCGGAAGGGACUGGCUGGAGUGUGGCGGGCUGACAGGUCUGAGGCCUGAAGGACUUCCGGGAACCGCAAAGCACGGUGUGCCUCCGCUGUCCUGAAGAAAAAGCCGCGCGCGGACGACUGGCCGGCCCGCGCUUGCAGCUCCCAGAAGUUGACAGGCAUCCUCCGGUGACCGGAGACAAGUUCUCACUCUGUCGCCCAGGCUGGAGUGAAGUGGCGCGAUCUCAGCUCACUGCAGCCUUGAACUCCCAUGCUCAAGUGAUCCUCCUGCCUCAGCCUCCCAAGUAGCUAGGACUACAGAUCUGCAUUGUAAGAAAAAUGAGAAGAAUUCCUUCAGGAAGAAGAAAAAUGAUACCAGAUGGAUAUGUGGAUCCACAUAAAGGAACGAAGAGCACAGGAAAUAGUAACUAUACUGUCUUGCUCUGUCACCCAGGCUGGAGUGUGGUGGUGCGAUCUUGGCUCACUGCUAGACUGGUUGGAUCCAGGUUUCCUUCGUCAGUCCAGGCAGGACUGUGCGGUUGGAAAAGG
rnacentral:lncRNA from 10 species